AACGUAGGUGGCGAGCGUUAUCCGGAUUUACUGGGCGUAAAGCGCGUUCAGGCGGUUUGGCAAGUCGGGCAUGAAAUCUCUUGGCUCAACCAGGAGGGGCUGUCCGAUACUUCCAGACUUGAGGGCAGUAGAGGAGGGUGGAAUUCCGGGUGUAGUGGUGAAAUGCGUAGAUAUCCGGAGGAACACCAGUGGCGAAAGCGGCCCUCUGGGCUGCUCCUGACGCUCAAACGCGAAAGCUAGGGGAGCGAACGGG
rnacentral:rRNA from 1 species